rnacentral:rRNA from 1 species
AGACCUUUAGUUUGAACCCCGAAACCAGGUGAGCUACCCCGAGACAGCCUAUAUUGAUUUAGGGCUAACCCGUCUCUGUGGCAAAAGAGUGGGAAGAGCUCCGGGUAGAAGUGACAGACCUACCGAACCUGGUGAUAGCUGGUUGCCUGAGAAGUGGAUAGAAGUUCAGCCUCGCACACCCCAAGCCAGAGAAUACACCGCUGAGGCACUCAGGGAAAUGUGGGAGAGUUAGUUAAAGGGGGUACAGCCCCUUUAACAAAGGAUACAACCUUUGCAGGAGGAUAAAGAUCAUAAUAUAUAAAACAUGCUGCUCUAGUGGGCCUAAAGGCAGCCACCUAAACAGAAAGCGUUAAAGCUCAGGCAGAAAGAAGUUUAUUAUACCGAUAAAAAAUCUUACUCCCCUAAUUAUAUCAGGCCAACCCAUGCCAACAUGGAAGAGAUUAUGCUAAAAUGAGUAACAAGAAGACCUGCUCUUCUCCCAGCACAAGUGUAAGCCAGAUCGGACUAGCCGCUGGAACUUAACGAACCCAACCCAAGAGGGUAGUGUGAAUAGUACAGACCCCAAGAAGAACUCACAACUAAACAAUCGUUAACCCCACACUGGAGUGCUAUUAUAAAGGAAAGACUAAAAGAGGGGGAAGGAACUCGGCAAACACAAGCCUCGCCUGUUUACCAAAAACAUCGCCUCCUGCAACUAUAUUGAGUAUAGGAGGUCCAGCCUGCCCAGUGACUACGGGUUCAACGGCCGCGGUAUUUUGACCGUGCAAAGGUAGCGCAAUCACUUGUCUCUUAAAUAGAGACCUGUAUGAAUGGCUAGACGAGGGCUUAACUGUCUCCCCCCUCCAGUCAGUGAAAUUGAUCUAUCCGUGCAGAAGCGGGUAUAAUUAUACAAGACGAGAAGACCCUUUGGAGCUUAAGGUACAAAAUCCAACCACGUUAAACGACCCCCUAAAGGGCAAGAACUUAGUGGCCAAUGAAGUUUUACCUUCGGUUGGGGCGACCACGGAGGAGAAAAAAGCCUCCGAGUGGACUGGGUUAAAACCCAAAGCUAAGAGAUACAUCUCUAAGCCGCAGAACAUCUGACCAAAAGUGAUCCGGCUAAAAAGCCGAUCAACGAACCAAGUUACCCUAGGGAUAACAGCGCAAUCCUCUCCCAGAGUCCAUAUCGACGAGGGGGUUUACGACCUCGAUGUUGGAUCAGGACAUCCUAAUGGUGCAGCCGCUAUUAAGGGU